UCAAGUUAUUGGUAGUAAAACUGAUUAAAAAAAAGCAUAAUGAAAGUAAAAAUUCUUUGGUAUAAUUAAUAUGUGAUCUAUAUAUUUAUACGUAAAAAUAUAUCCAUAUGGCGUAACAUAAUCCAGUUCACGUUGCAUGCAAUAGGGCGGAGAUAGAGCGUAUAUGCUGGGACCCGAAAGAUGGUGAACUAUACCUGAGCAGGAUGAAGCCAGAGGAAACUCUGGUGGAGGUCCGAAGCGAUUCUGACGUGCAAAUCGAUCGUCUGACUUUGGUAUAGAGGCGAAAGACUAAUCGAACAAUCUGUAGCUGG
rnacentral:ncRNA from 1 species